UGUGUACUCCCUCCGUUCCAAAAUACUUGACCUCCAUUUGUCCAAAAAUGGAUGUACCUAUAUACUAAAACAUGUCUAGAUACAUAUAUAUUUUUUGACAAAUAGAAGGCAUGUAUUGUGCAACGGAGGGAGUAGAAU
rfam:Triticum aestivum genome assembly, contig: Triticum_aestivum_CS42_TGACv1_scaffold_499807_6BL